rnacentral:rRNA from 1 species
CCUACGUGCGGCAGCAGUGGGGAAUAUUGGACAAUGGGCGAAAGCCUGAUCCAGCCAUGCCGCGUGUGUGAAGAAGGCCUUCGGGUUGUAAAGCACUUUCAGUGGGGAAGAAAGCCUUGGGGCUAAUACCCUCGAGGAAGGACAUCACCCACAGAAGAAGCACCGGCUAACUCCGUGCCAGCAGCCGCGGUAAUACGGAGGGUGCGAGCGUUAAUCAGAAUUACUGGGCGUAAAGCGCGCGUAGGCGGUCUGAUAAGCCGGUUGUGAAAGCCCCGGGAUCAACCUGGGAACGGCAUCCGGAACUGUCAGGCUAGAGUGCAGGAGAGGAAGGUAGAAUUCCCGGUGUAGCGGUGAAAUGCGUAGAGAUCGGGAGGAAUACCAGUGGCGAAGGCGGCCUUCUGGACUGACACUGACGCUGAGGUGCGAAAGCGUGGGUAGCAAACAGGAUUAGAUACCCCAGUAGUC